rnacentral:rRNA from 1 species
UCGGGAAUUUUGGGCAAUGGGCGAAAGCCUGAUCCAGCCAUGCCGCGUGAGUGAUGAAGGCCCUAGGGUUGUAAAACUCUUUCGUGGGGGACGAUAAUGACGGUACCCCAAGAAGAAGCUCCGGCUAACUUCGUGCCAGCAGCCGCGGUAAUACGAAGGGGGCUAGCGUUGUUCGGAUUUACUGGGCGUAAAGCGCGUGUAGGCGGGCUGGAAAGUUGGGGGUGAAAUCCCGAGGCUCAACCUCGGAACUGCCUCCAAAACUUCCAGCCUGGACUCAAGUAGAGGCAAGUGGAAUUGCGAGUGUAGAGGUGAAAUUCGUAGAUAUUCGCAGGAACACCAGUGGCGAAGGCGACUUGCUGGACUUGUAGUGACGCUGAGACGCGAAAGCGUGGGGAGCAAACAGGAUUAGAUACCCUUGUAGUCCCUGAGCGGGCUGGCAAGGCGCAU